rnacentral:rRNA from 1 species
UCCUACGGGAGGCAGCAGUGGGGAAUAUUGCACAAUGGGCGAAAGCCUGAUGCAGCGACGCCGCGUGAGGGAUGACGGCCUUCGGGUUGUAAACCUCUUUCAGCAGGGAAGAAGCGAAAGUGACGGUACCUGCAGAAGAAGCACCGGCUAACUACGUGCCAGCAGCCGCGGUAAUACGUAGGGUGCGAGCGUUGUCCGGAAUUAUUGGGCGUAAAGAGCUUGUAGGCGGUUUGUCGCGUCUGCUGUGAAAAUCCGGGGCUCAACCCCGGACUUGCAGUGGGUACGGGCAGACUAGAGUGUGGUAGGGGAGACUGGAAUUCCUGGUGUAGCGGUGAAAUGCGCAGAUAUCAGGAGGAACACCGAUGGCGAAGGCAGGUCUCUGGGCCACUACUGACGCUGAGAAGCGAAAGCAUGGGGAGCGAACAGGAUUAGAUACCCUGGUAGUCCAUGCCGUAAACGUUGGGCGCUAGGUGUGGGACUCAUUCCACGAGUUCCGUGCCGCAGCUAACGCAUUAAGCGCCCCGCCUGGGGAGUACGGCCGCAAGGCUAAAACUCAAAGGAAUUGACGG